AAGGAGAUAGCUGAGUGGUAUAGAGUACAUGCCUGUCAUGCAUGAAACCUGGGGUUCAGUCCUCAUCACUGUA
rnacentral:tRNA from 1 species